rnacentral:rRNA from 1 species
UACGUAGGGGGCAAGCGUUGUCCGGAUUUAUUGGGCGUAAAGAGCUCGUAGGUGGUUCGGCAAGUCGGAUGUGAAAUCUCCAGGCUCAACCUGGAGGGGUCAUUCGAUACUGCCGGACUAGAGUUCGGAAGAGGCGAGUGGAAUUCCCGGUGUAGCGGUGAAAUGCGCAGAUAUCGGGAGGAACACCUAUGGCGAAGGCAGCUCGCUGGGACGUUACUGACGCUGAGACGCGAAAUCGUGGGGAGCAAACAGG